rnacentral:lncRNA from 1 species
AGUUCCUUACCUGCCGGGUCGGCCUCCGCAGAGAGUGGUGGUCUUGAAAACCCAGUUUUGGGAGAAUACCUGCCGCGCCUCCCGCCCAAAUACCCAGAGGUUUCAUAGCCGCCAUCGCUGCGGUGGAGGAGGCCGCCUGUUGCGUCCCACCCCACCAGAAAGCCUAACACUGGCCUGAAGCGUAAUCUUAAAGUGGUAGGGGAAAAUACCGAUCUAGCGCAGAGAGCAAAACACCUCCGUUCUGGGUUUAAUGGGCAGGUCUGGAGGUGAGGUAUGCCGUCCGCACUCAAUAAUUACUUGCAGGAUCGGAUUGUUUCUCCAGUGGGUGGGGACUGCAGGAUGUAGCAUUGAGUGAGCCUGGCAGAUUGAAAGAUAAAACAAGGGUGAUGAUAAAAACAAUUACACACUAACCCAUUUCCUCCUCCGUGAAAUGAGGGAAUGGCCCAGACAUUUUCCAGACCUCUUCUGUCCUAAGAGUGGAGCUGGGUGACAGAGCAGGUGCAAGCCGGCCUUUCCCUGCCUCCCCGGGGAACGCACUCUGUUCGGUGAGAGCAACUCAGCUCGCAUUGACUCCUUUCAGCUGCAGGAGUGUGGCCGUUCAGUUCUCAUUUGAACUGUUGACAACAGUUGUCUUCUGAGAAUCAUGAGUUAGAGCCUCCCUUUAGGCUUCUGACUCCCUCAAAAGUACCAGACAACACAAACUUUUCCCCUCUUGUUACCUUGGCUCUCUAAGCUGUAUCUACUUCUAUACAAGGCGAACAAUUUUGUCUUUUUAAAUUAAAAACAACAACAAAAGCA